CAUGGGUGUCCCGUCUCUAAGGGCAGAGUUUCUCCUGCCCAAGGGCUCAAAAAUGGAAUGGAAAUUCAUUAAGCCACAAAAUCCUUACCACCCUGGGUCUGGCUGGACAUGGGAGCCUGAACCCUUUAGGAACAGGUGCCUCCAGGUGACCACCAAGGACAGCAUGGAAGUGACCUGUACUUGGGGAGAACUGGACAUGGAAAUAAAAGAGUGGAACUACAUGUACGAGCCUGA